UACGGAGGGUGCAAGCGUUGUUCGGAAUUACUGGGCGUAAAGCGCGUCUAGGUGGAUUUGUAAGUCAGGUGUGAAAGACCUUGGCUCAACCAAGGAAAUGCGCCUGAGACUAUGAGUCUUGGUGUGAGGGUGGUGGAUCUGUGUAGCAGUGAAAUGCGUAGAUAUCAGGAGGAACAUCAGAGGCGAAGGCGACUCACUGGCCACAUACUGACACUGAAGCGCGAGAGCGUGGGUAGC
rnacentral:rRNA from 1 species